GGUACACAUUUGACACAAAAAUGCGAGAAGACAAACCAGCCAAGUUGCCAGCCAUCUUCUAAACUGAAUGCACACCUGAUGCAUCCUCCGUCUUCAUCAUCCCCUGCAGCACUAAGUGAUGAAGAGCUUGCUCUACUGCUUCAUCAAGAACUUAAUAGUUCUCCUAGAGUUCCUCGAGUGCCACGGAUGCGCCAUGCUGGUAGCUUACCUCAGUUAACCUCUCCAACAUCUACAAGUAUGCUAAUGAAGCGAACAUCUAGCGGUGGAGGAAAAGAUCAUGGGUUGACAUCUAGGAGAAAGUCAAAGGACAUAGGCAAAGAUGGUACAAACUGUUCUCAAGAGGUCGUUCAGGAAACUAAGAAAUCUGAAAGAUCAACU
rnacentral:misc_RNA from 1 species